CAGAGGACUCCCUGGAAGUCCGACGCCAGA
rnacentral:piRNA from 1 species